rnacentral:rRNA from 1 species
UAGGGAAUAUUGCACAAUGGAGGAAACUCUGAUGCAGCGACGCCGCGUGAGUGAUGACGGUUUUCGGAUUGUAAAGCUCUGUUCUUAGGGAAUAAGAAAGUGAAUGUACCUAAGAAGAAAGCACCGGCUAACUUCGUGCCAGCAGCCGCGGUAAUACGAGGGGUGCAAGCGUUGUUCGGAAUCAUUGGGCGUAAAGCGGGUGUAGGUGGCUAUAUAAGUCAGAAGUGAAAGCCCAGGGCUCAACCUUGGAAGUGCUUUUGAUACUGUAUAGCUUGAGUGUAAGAGAGGUUACUGGAAUUCCUGGUGUAGUGGUGAAAUACGUAGAGAUCAGGAGGAACAUCGGUGGCGAAGGCGGGUAACUGGCUUAACACUGACACUCAGACCCGAAAGCGUGGGGAGCAAACAGGAUUAGAUACCCCCGUAGUCC